CUUCCUUGCCCAAUUGAGGCUUUGAGAGAGGUGGAAGGUAAGAAAGAGUCUCGUACUUCUUCUUAUUAAUAGGUGGCCAUACCUUCAUGCAAUGCACUCUUCCACCAUUGCUAGGGAGAGAAGUGAUGUCAUUGUUGGACUUUCUAGUGACCGGAAAAGCCGAAGCGGACUUGAGACCGGUGAAGGGUGCAACCAUGCUAGCCUGAGCCGGG
rnacentral:misc_RNA from 1 species